AGGGUUUGAUUCUGGCUCAGGACGAACGCUGGCGGCGUGCCUAACACAUGCAAGUCGAACGGAACUUCUUUAAAGGAUUUCUUCGGAAUGAAUUUGAUUAAGUUUAGUGGCGGACGGGUGAGUAACGCGUGAGUAACCUGCCUCUAAGAGGGGAAUAACAUUCUGAAAAGAAUGCUAAUACCGCAUAAUAUAUAUUUAUCGCAUGGUAGAUAUAUCAAAGAUUUAUCGCUUAGAGAUGGACUCGCGUCCGAUUAGUUAGUUGGUGAGGUAACGGCUCACCAAGACCGCGAUCGGUAGCCGGACUGAGAGGUUGAACGGCCACAUUGGGACUGAGACACGGCCCAG
rnacentral:rRNA from 1 species